GUUUGGUAAGAGUGCUGCCUCUAGAAGUUUGUGGAUCAGGUCUGAAUUAAUAAUGGGGGAUCCCUUUUGGGUUAGGAAACCUCUUUCUCUCCAUAUUAGGAUUUUUGAGUGAAGUAUGUUAUAGGCAUAUUUGGAGUCUGUGUGGAUGUUAACCCUUAGAUUUUUAGUCAGAGUUAAAGCUCUGGUGGGAGCUAUCAGUUCUGCCUGUUGGGAGGUGGUGUGAGGUGGCAGCGGUGAAGCUUCAAUUGUCUGGGUUCCGUGAUUGUGACAAAGAACCCCCUGGAUGAUGGCAUAUCCUGCUGCAAAGGGUGGGGAUUUUUGAGAGCUGCCAGCAACGAACCAGUGUGGGGUGUCUGGGUCUAGGAUGGGCUGAUCUGUUACAUGUUGGAAGGGGUUUUGGGCCCCAAAGACUCCUUCACUCCCCACCAAAAAUGUCCACAUUACAAUCCCUAGAAGUUGUGAAUAUGUUACUUUACCCAGCAAAAGGAACUUUGCAGGAGGAGGAAGAGGCCACAAGACAAGGCAAGUGGGCAGCCUCUGGAAGCUGGAAUAAACAAGGACACAUUCUCCCCUGAAGGCUCCAAAAGGAAACGGCUUAGCUGACAUUUGAUUUUAGAUUUCUAACCUCAGAACUGUAAGGAAAUAAAUUUGUAUGGUUUAAGCCUGGCAUUGCCGAA